UGCAACGCGAAAAACCUUACCUACCCUUGACAUGUCCGGAAUCCUGCAGAGAUGCGGGAGUGCCGAAAGGGAAUCGGAACACAGGUGCUGCAUGGCUGUCGUCAGCUCGUGUCGUGAGAUGUUGGGUUAAGUCCCGCAACGAGCGCAACCCUUAUCAUUAGUUGCUACGCAAGGGCACUCUAAUGAGACUGCCGGUGACAAACCGGAGGAAGGUGGGGAUGACGUCAAGUCCUCAUGGCCCUUAUGGGUAGGGCUUCACACGUCAUACAAUGGUCGGUACAGAGGGUUGCCAAGCCGCGAGGUGGAGCCAAUCCCAGAAAGCCGAUCGUAGUCCGGAUUGUUCUCUGCAACUCGAGAGCAUGAAGUCGGAAUCGCUAGUAAUCGCGGAUCAGCAUGUCGCGGUGAACACGUUCCCGGGUCUU
rnacentral:rRNA from 1 species